GAUGAACGCUGACAGAAUGCUUAACACAUGCAAGUCAACUUGAAUUUGGGUUUUUAACUUAGGUUUGGGUGGCGGACGGGUGAGUAACGCGUAAAGAACUUGCCUCACAGCUAGGGACAACAUUUGGAAACGAAUGCUAAUACCUAAUAUUAUGAUAAUAGGGCAUCCUAUAAUUAUGAAAGCUAUAAGCGCUGUGAGAGAGCUUUGCGUCCCAUUAGCUAGUUGGAGAGGUAACGGCUCACCAAGGCGAUGAUGGGUAGCCGGCCUGAGAGGGUGAUCGGCCACAAGGGGACUGAGACACGGCCCUUACUCCUACGGGAGGCAGCAGUGGGGAAUAUUGGACAAUGGACCGAGAGUCUGAUCCAGCAAUUCUGUGUGCACGAUGAAGUUUUUCGGAAUGUAAAGUGCUUUCAGUUGGGAAGAAAAAAAUGACGGUACCAACAGAAGAAGUGACGGCUAAAUACGUGCCAGCAGCCGCGGUAAUACGUAUGUCACGAGCGUUAUCCGGAUUUAUUGGGCGUAAAGCGCGUCUAGGUGGUUAUAUAAGUCUGAUGUGAAAAUGCAGGGCUCAACUCUGUAUUGCGUUGGAAACUGUAUAACUAGAGUACUGGAGAGGUAAGCGGAACUACAAGUGUAGAGGCGAAAUUCGUAGAUAUUUGUAGGAAUGCCGAUGGGGAAGCCAGCUUACUGGACAGAUACUGACGCUGAAGCGCGAAAGCGUGGGUAGCAAACAGG
rnacentral:rRNA from 1 species